UACGUAGGGUGCAAGCGUUAAUCGGAAUUACUGGGCGUAAAGCGUGCGCAGGCGGUUUUGUAAGUUUGUCGUGAAAGCCCCGGGCUCAACCUGGGAAUUGCGAUGAAGACUGCAAGGCUUGAAUCUGGCAGAGGGGGGUAGAAUUCCACGGUGUAGCAGUGAAAUGCGUAGAGAUGUGGAGGAACACCGAUGGCGAAGGGCAGCCCCCUGGGUCAAGAUUGACGCUCAUGCACGAAAGCGUGGGAGC
rnacentral:rRNA from 1 species